GAUAAACGCUGGCGGCGUGCAUAACACAUGCAAGUCGAACGAUGAACCUUAUUAGAUUUCUUCGGAAUGAAAAUAAGUGGAUUAGUGGCGAACGGGUGAGUAACACGUGAGUAACCUGCCUUACACAAGGGGAUAGCCUUUGGAAACGAAGAAUAAUACCCUAUAACGUCAAAAUAUCGCAUGAUAAAGUGACCAAAGAUUUAUCGGUGUAAGAUGGACUUGCGUCUGAUUAGCUAGUUGGUGAGAUAAAAGCCCACCAAGGCGACGAUCAGUAGCCGGCUUGAGAGAGUGUACGGCCACAUUGGGACUGAGACACGGCCCAAACUCCUACGGGAGGCAGCAGUGGGGAAUUUUGCACAAUGGGGGAAACCCUGAUGCAGCGACGCCGCGUGAUUUAGAAGGCCUUCGGGUUGUAAAAAUCUUUUUUAUGGGAUGAAAAUGACAGUACCAUAAGAAUAAGGUCCGGCUAAAUACGUGCCAGCAGCCGCGGUAAUACGUAUGGACCGAGCGUUGUCCGGAAUCAUUGGGCGUAAAGGGUACGUAGGCGGCCUAGUAAGUUAGAAGUGAAAUAAUAUAGCUCAACUAUAUAAAGCUUUUAAAACUGUUAGGCUUGAGAGAUGAAAGGGAAAGUGGAAUUCCUAGUGUAGCGGUGAAAUGCGCAGAUAUUAGGAAGAAUACCGGUGGCGAAGGCGACUUUCUGGUCAUCAUCUGACGCUGAGGUACGAAAGCGUGGGUAGCAAACAGG
rnacentral:rRNA from 1 species